rnacentral:lncRNA from 1 species
CUUGAAAACUCUCUAGUUAAAAGUUAUAGAUGAAGCCAUGGGAGAAAAUGUGAUCAAGGGAGAGAACGUGUGGAGAAAAAGAGAAUCAAGGCCAGAGUCUUGGGUGAUAACACUUAAGAUUUGGAAGUAAAAAGUGAACCCAACAAAUGAGAUAAAGACAAAGAAAUCAGAGACAGAGAAAGGAGCUGGGAGAAUGUUGUGCCAGAAAAAAAUGAAACAACAUAAAAUAUACCAAAAACUGGGAAGAGUAAGUGCUAAGAUGAUGAUGAGGUCAUGUGUGCUAAAGGCUACAGAAAUCAAGAUGAUGAGGACAGAGAAGAAUAUGCUGGAUUCUCUGAGUAAGAUUUCACUGCAUGGAACAGAAAUUGUUUAGAGAGGUAGAGGAGGAGAAAGAACUAUCUCCAGAGAGUGAACCCUGCUCCUUGAGUCAACUUCUUGCCAGCACUAGGCAAUCGGUUCCUGGAGCUGUAAAGAGGAGUCCGGAUCUCUGCAGGUUUCUAUUUUCCAACACAAAAGUUAAAGAAGGAUUAAUAACACGCACCUUACAAGUGGAUGAGGAUUAAAUGACAAUAUCCGGAAAACGCCUAGUACAGCCCGACCUAUGGGGAAGCAGCUGCAACCUCAACGUAUCCCAGGCUGAACCCAUCAACUUCCCCUACAAUCUUCUUCUGCUGCAUGCAUUUUCUCUUUUAGUGGCAUUGCAUUUCAUCACAUCACCCAGUUAUGAGGGUGACAUUGUCCUUUGCUCCUCUUUGCUUUUCUCCCAGCAAUCACCCAGUCCGCCU